rnacentral:rRNA from 1 species
AAAUUGAAGAGUUUGAUCAUGGCUCAGAUUGAACGCUGGCGGCAGGCCUAACACAUGCAAGUCGAACGGUAACAGGAAGCAGCUUGCUGCUUCGCUGACGAGUGGCGGACGGGUGAGUAAUGUCUGGGAAACUGCCUGAUGGAGGGGGAUAACUACUGGAAACGGUAGCUAAUACCGCAUAAUGUCGCAAGACCAAAGAGGGGGACCUUCGGGCCUCUUGCCAUCGGAUGUGCCCAGAUGGGAUUAGCUUGUUGGUGGGGUAACGGCUCACCUAGGCGACGAUCCCUAGCUGGUCUGAGAGGAUGACCAGCCACACUGGAACUGAGACACGGUCCAGACUCCUACGGGAG